GCCACGGUAAGGGUAUCGUUUGCUUUCACUUCGCUGCUCCCCGCAUUCCCAUACCCAAUCUCACCACCCUUCUUCCUCCCUUCUUUCAAUCUUCGCAGGAUUACAGUGGAUCGAUCCAGAGGCGUCACCAGUGGCUGGAUUCCGAAGCUAAUUACCACAUCGGAGCUGUUGGGGUCAAAUAUCAGGUGAAGAGCUACUGGUUGAACUCUGAUGGUGCAGAUGUGGUCUUCCAUAUGAUUGAUAAUUUUCUUAUCUAGUCUUCUGAUAAAUUUUGCGGUUCUCAAUUGGCAGGCCACAAACUCAUUCUGGUGUGUAGAACACUGAUGCAAGUACAUUUAUUCUAAAAAUCUCGACCUUGUAGAUAAAUAAUUGUCCUGUGUAUUAGUUGCGCAAUUUUGAUUUGGUUAUAAUUCUUCAUUCAUACACCGCCUAGGGAAUCUGGUAACAAGAAACUGUAGAUUUUCUUAGUAGGUGGAAUUAUCUUGUAAUAGAAUUCAUCAUUUUAUAUCUUAGGAAGAAAUUUCCUACAA